AAUGUUAAUAUUUCAUUAGAAAAUAAAAAAGUUAGGAAUUACAAGAAUGUAAAACCUAUAGUUUGGUCCCAUGGCAAAAAAGACUAAAAACAUGGGAGCAAAUAUCAAUUGGUCCAUCGACAUCAACAAAAAUAGUUAAGCUUUUGGAAUCAAUGAAGCGAUACAACAAUUUUGAUGAAUCGCAUAUAAUACACCUCAAAGAGAAAGAUAAUGCUGUUGAACGGCAAAGGUCGAAUCAAUGAAAACUUCCAUUUUCUCUUGUUACAAUAUUUCUCU
rnacentral:sRNA from 1 species